UGGCGGAUGACUUGUGGCUAGGAGUGAAAUUCCAAUCGAACCCGGAGAUAGCUGGUUCUCCCCGAAAUAGCUUUAGGGCUAGCGUCGCAGCGAGAGAGCCGUGAAGGUAGAGCACUGAAUAUGCGAUGGCCGCAUCCCGCGGUACUGAGCAUAAUCAAACUCCGAAUGUCACGGUAUCAUCUGCGGCAGUCAGACGGCGAGUGAUAAGGUCCGUCGUCAAGAGGGAAACAGCCCAGACCAUCAGCUAAGGUCCCAAAAUGUAUGCUAAGUGGAAAAGGAUGUGGAGAUGUACAGACAACUAGGAGGUUGGCUCAGAAGCAGCCAUCCUUCAAAGAGUGCGUAACAGCUCACUAGUCGAAUGACUCUGCGCCGAUAAUUUACCGGGGCUAAGCAUGACACCGAAGCUAUGGACAGGAAUGUGGUAGGGGAGCAUUGCAUGCAGCGGAGAAGCAUGACCGAGAGGGCAUGUGGAGCGCAUGGAAGAGAGAAUGCCGGCGUGAGUAGCGGCACGUGGGUGAGAAUCCCACGCACCGAUGGCCCAAGGUCUCCAGAGGAAGGCUCGUCCUCUCUGGGAUAGUCGGGACCUAAGGCGAGGCCGAAAGGCGUAGCCGAUGGACGACGGGUGGAUAUUCCCGUACCCGAUGUGUGGCGAUGGAGUGACGGAGAAGGCUCAGGCAACCAGCUGCUGGAAUAGCUGGGGCAAGCGAGAUACCUGCGCACCAGGGAAAUCCGGUGCGCAUAAGGGGAAGGCGCGAUGCAUACGGAAAGCUUCGGCAAGUACGGAAAAGCUGAGAGCAGGCUUCCAGGAAAAGCUUCUAGCACAACACACAUCGGCCCGUACCGAAAAUGGACACACAUGGGCAAGGAGAGAAUCCUGAGGUGAGCGAGAGAACUAUAGCUAAGGAACUCUGCAAAAUGACCCCGUAACCUAGGGAGAAGGGGUGCUCCAGAAAUGGAGCCGCAGUAAAACGGCCCAAGCGACUGUUUACCAAAAACACAGCUCUCUGCGAAGGCGCAAGCCGAAGUAUAGGGGGUGACGCCUGCCCGGUGCUGGAAGGUCAAGGGGAGCUGUCAGCGCAAGCGAAGCAGCGAGCCGAAGCCCCAGUAAACGGCGGCCGUAACUAUAACGGUCCUAAGGUAGCGAAAUUCCUUGUCGGGUAAGUUCCGACCCGCACGAAAGGCGUAACGAUUUGGGCGCUGUCUCAGCUGUAGACUCGGUGAAGUCUUAGUACCUGUGAAGAUGCAGGUUGCCCGCGACUAGACGGAAAGACCCCAUGGAGCUUCACUGCAGGUUGACAUUGGGCUUGGAUGCAUGAUGUACAGGAUAGGUGGGAGGCUGUGAGCCGUGCGCGCCAGCGUACGGGGAGCCGCUGUUGGGAUACCACCCUUCAUGCAUCUAGGUCCUAACCGGAGGCAACGGGCCACGGGACAGUGUCAGUCGGGCAGUUUGACUGGGGCGGUCGCCUCCCAAAGAGUAACGGAGGCGCCCAAAGAUACCCUCAGCUUGGAUGGAAACCAAGCGCAGAGUGCAAAGGCAAAAGGGUGUUUGACUGCGAGACCCACAAGUCGAGCAGGGACGAAAGUCGGGCUUAGUGAUCCGGCGGAUCCGAAUGGAAGGGCCGUCGCUCAACGGAUAAAAGCUACCCUGGGGAUAACAGGCUGAUCUCCCCCAAGAGUCCACAUCGACGGGGAGGUUUGGCACCUCGAUGUCGGCUCAUCGCAUCCUGGGGCUGUAUUCGGUCCCAAGGGUUUGGCUGUUCGCCAAUUAAAGCGGUACGCGAGCUGGGUUCAGAACGUCGUGAGACAGUUCGGUCCCUAUCUGUCGUGGGCGCAGGAUAUUUGAUGGGAGCUGUCCCUAGUACGAGAGGACCGGGACGGACGUACCUCUGGCGCACCAGUUGUUCCGCCAGGAGCAUAGCUGGGCAACUACGUACGGAUCGGAUAAACGCUGAAAGCAUCUAAGCGUGAAGCCGACCCAAAGAUAAGAUAUCCCAUUGUUUCAAACAAGUAAGACCCCUUGAAGACUACAAGGUUGAUAGGCACGAUGUGUAAGUGGAGCGAUCCAUUCAGCAAGCGUGUACUAAUAGGUCGAGGGCUUGACCAC
rnacentral:rRNA from 1 species